CCUACGGGUGGCAGCAGUGGGGAAUAUUGCACAAUGGGCGAAAGCCUGAUGCAGCAAAGCCGCGUGAAGGAAGACGGUUUUAGGAUUGUAAACUUCUAUCAAUAGGGAAGAAAGAAAUGACGGUACCUAAAUAAGGAGCCCAGGAUAACUACGUGCCAGCAGCCGCGGCAAUACGGAGGGGGCAAGAGUUAUCCGGAAUUACUGGGUGUAAAGGGAGAGUAGGCGGCAAGGUAAGCGAUAUGUGAAAGCCUUAGGCUUAACCAAAGGAUUGCAGAAAGAACUAUCUAGCUAGAGUACAGGAGAGGAAAGCGGAAUUCCUAGUGUAGCGGUGAAAUGCGUAGAGAUUAUGAAGAACACCAGUGGCGAAGGCGGCUUUCUGGACUGAAACUGACGCUGAGGCUCGAAAGCGUGGGGAUCGAACAGGAUUAGAUACCCGGGUAGUC
rnacentral:rRNA from 1 species